rnacentral:lncRNA from 1 species
AUUAAACCCUUUGGUGCUAGGAGCUGACAAUUUCCAAAGCAGCCUGUGAAGUCCUAGGGGCUGGGGGCCACUCUUGCGGCAAGCAGAAGGCCAUCCUACUCCGCGGAGUGAUCAUGGAAAUGUAUUUUAGUUAAACUCUGACAGCUCCCAAACGGAAGACUACAGCAUGACGUAGUAUUAUGAUUGCAUUGUAUGAAAGAGCAAGUGACUUUCUAAGUAGGAUGAAUCAUAUUCAUAUGCAGAUGUCUUAGCCUCUUGACGCUGGAAGUGUGGAUUUAUAGCUAUGAAACCACUGCUGGCAGUGGGUGGGCCACUGGGACUGACGGGGGUUAAAGGGCAUUUUACUAAGGCAGCUAAGACAUAUUCAGACAUCAACGUUAUCCUUCUUUUUCAUAUUUCUACCUGAGUGAAGUUCAUCCUUAGUAUUGAGUAGGAAGUUACAGUAAAUGGUAGUUCAUUCUUACUUACACACAUAGCUAAUCUUUUUUUUUUCACUUGGAAUUAUGUUGAAUGUUUCAUUUUGACAAAAAAGUAGACUAGAAGGUAUGUUCUUUAAGUUGUCUUGCAUCCAUUAUAUAAGAAAGAAACAGGUGAGAGGAAGAGCAGAAAGCUGAGACUGGCUGAUGUUCAGAGCACUUACUCCUCUAGAGGGAAAGCAUGACACCGAACACUAAGCACACAGCUUUUUGUUGUUUUGGUUUUUUCUCCCGCAAAUCUUAAAGUGAUUCCCAUGACCUUGGCCAAGGACACUUCUUAAAGAUUAAUGACUGGCACUGACAUUGCCCCAGGCGGGCCACUCCUCACACUGGCUCUCAGUUCCCAGCCAUGCCUGGGGCUCAGUCACUUCUAUUCCACCCUCUGAGACUCCAUUGGUGUCACACAAGGUGUCUUCUUGGCUUUGAUUUUGAGAAUCCCCUAUUUUCACUUCCAGAUCUGUCAGCUGCCAUGGAGGAAUAAUAGAAAACCAGAAAUGCGUGUAGAGGGAGAUUUCUAAAACUUCCCUUGUGUCGCCCAUAGUUGUAGUUUUGGGUUCUGGCAGGUGGAACACCCUGAAACCUGGAAUCAUUCUAUGAGAAUACAGUUCAGACUUUGCAGACUCCAGCCCAUACUAACUGUCAUGAAGCUUGACUUCUUGUCAUAAUGCAGCCAUCUUGGAGGAAAUUGGCCAUUUCUGCUUAGAUGGUUGGCAGGGUCGCGCUCAGCUUUGCUUUCUACACUAAUUACAUAGCAUUAUUCAAGUAUUGUUUUCCAUUUCCCAUCCCUGAUUUCCAGCUUCUUAAAGCUGACUGUUCUUGCAGGGGCCACUUGCUUCUCCUAGAGUACAAAAGUAAGGGCCUUCCUUACUAACUGCAGGGUCUCUCUAUUACACCUCAACAUACACACUUUGCUGCUACUGUUUGUACUGUCUACAGUAGAAUUUCCUUAUCUUGCUCCUGGUAGUGCAUUACAGGCAAGCAUGAAAUGUAAAGUAUUUAUUUAAAUAAAAAGAAAACCUCUAAAUUGGUAAUUGAAUUACCUCCCUGUAGCUUUAUAGUUUGUGACAUUUCUUGACCUUGCUAGUUCUUUCAUUAGAUCUGCGCAAGAUCUAGUCAUCUGGUUAAGGAUUUUAAGCAGAUGCAACUAUAAACCCAAGAAACUGUAUUACUAUUACUGUUGGUCAUACUAAACCUGUCUAUUUCCUGAAGUAUAUGACCCACAAGGAUGUGGAAUAACUAGGAGAAACUGUUUUUGUACACUGUACAUCCUUAGUAUUUUUACACGUAUAUGAUAGGGAUGAACAUGAUUUUCCUUCGUACAGACAGCUUAAAUAAAGCACUAUGUCAAUCUGCU